rnacentral:rRNA from 1 species
AUAUUGUACAAUGCGGGCAACCCUGAUCCAGCCAUGCCGCGUGUGUGAAGAAGGUUUUCGGAUUGUAAAGCAUCUUAAGUUGGGAGGAAGGGCUUUAGGUUGAUACUCUGAAGUUGUGACGUUACCAACAGAAUAAGCUGCGGCUAACUCUUGUCCAGCAGCUGCGGUAAUACAGAGGGUGCAAGCGUUAAUCGGAAUUACUGGGCGUAAAGCACGCGUAGGUGGUUCAGUAAGAUGGGUGUGAAGUCCCCGGGCUUAACCUGGGAACUGCUUUCAUAACUGCUGAGCUAGAGUACGGUAGAGGGGAGUGGAAUUUCCUGUGUAGCGGUGAAAUGCGUAGAUAUAGGAAGGAACACCAGUGGCGAAGGCGACUACCUGGACUGAUACUGACACUGAGGUGCGAAAGCGUGGGGAGCAAAC